rnacentral:rRNA from 1 species
CCUACGGGUGGCAGCAGUGAGGAAUAUUGGGCAAUGGACGCAAGUCUGAACCAGCCAUGCCGCGUGCAGGAAGACGGCGCGAUGAGUUGUAAACUGCUGUUGUACGAGGGUAAACGCAGAUACGCGUAUCUGUCUGAAAGUAUCCUACGAAUAAGGAUCGGCUAACUCCGUGCCAGCAGCCGCGGUAAUACGGAGGAUUCAAGCGUUAUCCGGAGUUAUUGGGUUUAAAGGGUGCGUAGGCGGAUCGUUAAGUCAGUGGUCAAAUUGAGGGGCUCACCCCCUUCCCGCCAUUGAAACUGGCGUUCUUGAGUGGAGGCGAGGUAUGCGGAAUGCGUGGUGUAGCGGU